rnacentral:rRNA from 1 species
GAUGAACGCUGGCGGCAUGCCUAACACAUGCAAGUCGAACGGGGCUCAGAGAACAGAGGACUUGUCCAAAGUUUUCGAAAGCCUAGUGGCGGACGGGUGAGUAACACGUGAGCAACCUGCCUUGGACUGGGGAAUAACUGUGGGAAACCAUAGCUAAUACCGCAUAAAGUCACGAGAGGACAUCCUUUUGUGACCAAAGGAGCAAUCCGGUCUUAGAUGGGCUCGCGUCCGAUUAGAUCGUUGGUGAGGUAACGGCUCACCAAGUCUGCGAUCGGUAGCCGGACUGAGAGGUUGAACGGCCACAUUGGGACUGAGACACGGCCCAGACUCCUACGGGAGGCAGCAGUGGGGAAUAUUGGGCAAUGGGCGAAAGCCUGACCCAGCAAUGCCGCGUGAAGGACGAAGGUCUUCGGAUUGUAAA